GGGAGUGGCUUUUUGAGAGCAUGAGCAAGCUGAUUAUAUGCGGAAAUAUGAGAGACAGACUGCUCACUUUUGUACAAACCCAAACAUGUGUCACCAUAGGGUUAUUCGGCGGUGCUUUAGCCACAAGUCGACCAACCUAACUCUGUUCCUGAUAAGAUCCCAUUCGAGUUGCAGAUUUAUAAAUGGUUGUAAUUGUUUGUAAUGGAAACUGAAGGCUGUUGUGUUGUAAUUAAAUUGAUAUUGAACAACAGGAAGAUUUAUAUAUUUUAUACUGAAUAAAAUGUAACAGAAUUAUGAGUCAUGACAGAGUUUGAAGUGUUUUUAAUUAGUAUUUUCAUUUUGAAUUCUAUUAAUAAAGCCAAUUCAAUGAUCAUGGCUGAAUGAGAAAUCCCAAUUUAGUCCAACAGAAAAGA